GGGUGCUGAACAACUGGACAUCUACAAGCUUAAAAAACAACCUUGACCUAAGUCUCACGCAAACAUUAACUCAAAUGGAUAAUGGACUUAAAUAUAAAACAGAACUGUAAAAAUUCUAGGGAAAAAAGACAAUCUUCGUGAUCUGGGACUAGGUAAAGCUUAGACAUGACCCCAAAAGCAUAAUCAUAAAAGACAAACAUCAGUAAACUGGAAUUCAUCAAAAUUUAAAACUUUUGCUCUGUAAAAUAUCCUGUUAAGAUGAUGAAAAAAUAAGCUACAGACUAGAAGAAAAUAUGUGCAAACCAAAAACCUGACAAAGCCUAGUAUUUAGAAUAUAUAAAGAACUCUCAAAACUCAACAGUAAAAAAACCCAAGCAAUCCAAUCAGAAAAUGGGCAAAAGAGAGGCCGGCCGGGCAGCACACUACUUAAGUCCACACGCUUCACUUGGGCGGCCCCGGGCUCGCAGGUUCGGAUCCUGGGCACAGACCUAGCAUCACUCAUCAAGCCAUGCUGUGGUGGCGUCCCACAUAAGACAGAGGAAGAUAGGCACGUUUGUUAUCUCAAGGCCAAUCUUCCUCACAAAAAAAUAAAAGGGCAAAAGACAUAAACAGACAUUUCACAAAGUGAAAAAAGCACAUGAAAAGAUGUACAUUACCCAUUAUGGAAAUGCAAACAAAAACCACAAUGAGAUGUCACUAUAUACUUACCAGAAUGGCUAAAAUAAAAAACAAUACCAGAUGCUGGUGAGGAUUUGGAGAAACACUCAUUCAUACUUUGCUGGUGGGAACAUAAAAUUGUACAGCCACUCUGAAAAGGUUUGGCAGUUUCUUUUAAAAACCUAAAUAUGCAAUGACCAUACAACCUGGUAAUUGUACUCCUGGACAUUUAGCUCAAAGAAAACCAAUGUUUAUGCAAAAACCUGUAAUGAAUGUUCAUAGCAGCUUUAUUUGGAAUAGCCAAAAACUGGAAACCACCCAGACGUCCUUAAACAGGACAACGAGUAUACCAUGGAAUUCUACACAGCAAUCAAAAGGAACGAACUGUUAACACACGCAACAACCUGGCUGAAUCUCCAGACUAUUUGCCGAGUGAAAAAAGCCAAUCCCAAAAGGUCACACACUAUACGAUCCCAUUUAUACAACAUUCUUGAAAUGACACAAUUAUAGAGAUGACCAGAUUAGUGGUUGCCAGGGACUGGGGAUGGUGGCAGAGGGGUGGGGGCGGCUCUCAAGGGGUAGUCGGAGGGAGAUCCUUGUGGUGACGGGACAGCUCUGUAUCUAGAUUGCAGUGGCGGUUACACAAAUCUACACGUGCGAAGAUGAUAUAUAACUAUACACCCACAUUGCACCAGUGUCCAAUUCCUGGCUCGAUACUGUAUUAUAACUACAUAAGAUGGAACCUCUGAGGAAAACUGCGUGAAGGGUACAUGAGACCUCUAUCCUUGCAACUUCCUAUGAAUCCGUAAUGAUUUCAAAAUAAAAACUUAGUUAUGAAAAGAAAAAAGCAUCAGCUCUAACUGCGACUUGGUAUCCUGGAUUGGAUCCUGCAACAGAAAAAGGACAUUAUUGGGAAAACUGGUAAAAUCCAAACAAAGUCUGUAAUUUAGUUACUAGUUUUGUACCAAUGUUAAUUUUUUAGUUUUGAUAAAGGUACCAAAGUCAUAUAAGACGUCAACUUUAGGGGAAGCUGGCUGAAGGGCACAUGGACUCUUCUGUGAAUCCAAAACUAUUUCAAAAAAUAAAGUCCUGAUGCCCAGACUGAUUGAAUCAGAAUCCUGGGGGGGUGGGCCCCAGGUAUCAGUUAUUUUCAUUUGCCACGAUUCCAACGUGCAGCUAAGGUUAUGAACCAGCAUGGUGCAGAGAGAUUUUACCGUCUCCGUUUCCCACCUGGGUUUGCUCUUGGAGAGAAUUCCUUGAGAACAACUUCUGAGUGAGCAUACCAUGUUCUCUGGCCUUCAUUCCCACUGGUCCCAGAUAAGGACCCAACUUCCUUUGAGAAGGGUUCCAGAAAUCUCACCCCGCCCUGUCCGAUCUACGGUCCUCAGUCCCUGUGCCGCCCCAGUUUCUGCACAGCCGAAGAACUGUGGAAGGUAAACACAGGGAAACCAGGAGGGAAAGACAAACGCCUUCUUGUUCCCACUUCUCUAAAGCCCCGUAGCUAGUAAUAGGAAAAAAGCAGAGUCCUAAAGGUUUCAGAGAUAGAAGAAAACUUUGAUUUCACGGUUUUUUAAAAGAAAGUUGGUGGGGAUCCACCUGGUCCAUAACCACACUCCCCUCCCCUGCUGCUCUGCACGCACGUGACAGCCACGCAGACCCCUCGGAGGCCCGGGAGGAAGGGACGAGGUUGGUCUAACAGUGCAGCAGAAAGACCCCUUCCUCCCACCUGUGACCUCUUCUUAAAACAAUGACAGUACAAUGACAAUACUGUUAGUGGCAACCAAGCCCGCAGGCGGAGGAGAAACAGAAAGAGCAGGCCUCCUCAGUCCCCUUGGGGGCCAGCUCGCGCACUCAGGGCUCUGGAAUGGGUCAGAAAAGCAGCCUCCACAGGAGGGAGCGGGACCAGGGGACAGACUUGUGGGUAAUGGUGCUUCUAGGUUUGGCACAUGGGACACGCUGGGGCACACACUUGAAACACGGCAAUGUAAGGAAAGCCAAACAGUUCACUAUGGCCAAGGCCAUGGAUUUGAACCCCCAGCCAAAACUGGUGCUCUCGGUUUGCUCAAAAAGUGCUGCCAGCAGCAGAAAGUUGGCAAAUUAAAAGCAAAGUGAGUACAGGUCACGGCCACAUAAAGGAGUAACCGUGCGCACACAUCACGGCUUGGCCUGAAGAGGUAUGAAUAUGCUGCACUGUCACAGGGAGAAGGCUGGGCCCGGGGCCUCGAGAUGACUCUGCUUUUUCAUUCCCUCCGAAGCAGGCCUGCAGGGCUGUGCCCCAGCUGACCCCCAUUUCCUAAAGACGGCAGGACCUGCUGAAGGCUCUUGGCACUGACGUCUGUGCUGAGGAGAGCCCAGGACCCGCAUCGAUAAGGGCCAUCUAAAACGUGGCCUGGAGGGGAUGGGGACAGGCUGGCAGGAAGCAACUCCUCGGCUCUCUCCAGGUCCCCACAUGCUUGUCCAUUCCCCAGACCUGGGGCUCCUGGCAAGCAGUUAAACUCCUGGGUUCCGCCCAGGGCUCUCCUCAGCUGGGAGGCCGGGUCUGCUGUGGGUGGACCCUAAAGGAGAGAAGGAAGGGGGAAUUAAAAUCAAAGCUGGUCCAGGAAGCAGUCCUAUCAAGGCCAGGCAUUAAAAUCCUCUUUAGGACAGGAAAACACAGGGAAGGUGGAGGAGCCCCAGGCCACCUUAGGAGGUACCAAGGCAGGGCUGGGAGUGACGGGUGAGGAAAAUGGUCAGCUAACUGCGCCUCACAAGAAAAAACCACUGGGAGGACAGACGCUAUCCCCGAGAGGCAGGGAAAGCAGGGGCUCUGCUCACAGUGGGCCAGCGCCAUGAUGCUGGCCAAGAGGAACCCACCCCAGACAAUAAAGAGCCCAUGCUGGAAGGAAGCUUUAGUUUCUGAGGCUGAGUGUUUCAUGAUCCCAUCUGUCUUCUCAAAAACUGAAAUAAAGAGUAGCAAUAGGGACAGGAAGGGCCCACCCCGCCCCAAGGAGAGGUGCCCCCCAGCUGGGUGAGCGGUCUAUAGCGCUCCUCUCAGCAGCCAAAGGUCCAGGAAAGGAAAGCAAUGAGAACGUGAAAGGGAAGAUAUUUACCUUGGGUGUUUUCUUAAAACAAAAAA
rnacentral:lncRNA from 1 species